rnacentral:rRNA from 1 species
AGAUUGAACGCUGGCGGCAGGCCUAACACAUGCAAGUCGAGCGGUAGAGAGGUGCUUGCAUCUCUUGAGAGCGGCGGACGGGUGAGUAAUGCCUAGGAAUCUGCCUAGGUGGUGGGGGAUAACGUUCGGAAACGGACGCUAAUACCGCAUACGUCCUACGGGAGAAAGCGGGGGACCUUCGGGCCUCGCGCCAUUAGAUGAGCCUAGGUCGGAUUAGCUAGUUGGUGAGGUAAUGGCUCACCAAGGCGACGAUCCGUAACUGGUCUGAGAGGAUGAUCAGUCACACUGGAACUGAGACACGGUCCAGACU